CUCCAGACAAAGCAAGCUUGGCUUGACUGCAGGGGGAAGGGAAGGCAAGAGGAGAGCCUUUUGGCACGCUCAGAGCCGUGUUUUUGAGCCAUCCCCUGUGGCCACGUGGACGUUUCCUUCUGACAGCAAGAACAGAGACUGGUGCAGCUUCUGGUAUCCAGGAGCUUUAUAACAAAUCACCACAAGUCACAGAACUUGUUGUAAAGCGGAGGCUUCGUGUUUCACUCGUUACCGUGGCUCCAAACGUCAAAGCAGCGAGAACUUCCAGCAUCAUUGUCACAGUGCUGUUCCCUGGGAGGAGAAAAUGCCAUGGGUCUGCUGGGAAUGACAAACAAUGCUGGCACAGGGAGAGGCAACAGGGCUGAAAUCAAAAUGCUUGUGUUUAUAAUUGCUUUUACCAUGGUCCCUGGAAGGCUCCCGCGGCAGACGCAGGGUCCUGUAGGGUGAGGGGCUGAGCAGGAAUAGAACAGGGCAUAAUCCCAGUCCCCAAAGGGUUUGAGGGCUGUCAGGCUCCUCCACCAGCCAGACUGACACCACCACGCUUGGAGACCAUGUCACAGACAGACACAGAUUUUAAUUGGGAAAACAAAAAAAAAAAAGAAAAAAAAAAGAAAGAAAAGAAAUUUAUAGACUUCUUUUUCAGCUGCAAAUUAAAUUUCUUCUGUCUUGUCAACGGCUUUUGGAUGGCCACUGCGGAAGGAUCUUUUUGGUGAGACAAAAGGGCUGCAGAAAUAAUAGAAAUGAACGUCUGCAGCUGAAGAGCUUGACUGAGACUUGAAAAGUUUGCUUUGGGUGGCAGCCAGGUCCUGCUGAGGUCUGCAGGAGUUUUGCUCUUGGCCUCAGUGGGGCCGAGCUUUCACCCUUGGAGAUCACGUCCUGAGGAGAAUUUAGUCUAAAAUAAUUCUCAAAACUUGUAUUGUUUGACUCCCAUCCAGGGGUUUUUUUGGAGGCUCAGUGCUUUGUGCUUCUCAUUGACUCCGAUUGCUCCCCUUGGCAUCUUCCAAGGAUGAGCCCUCAUCAGAGGCUCAGGAGGCUCAAGGGAGGGUCAGAUGUGAGCAGGCCUCAAUCUGGGUUCCUAAACCAACAGAUUCUUUAAUCUGGGAAGUGUAGGACUUGUUGGGUGUGUGCUGAAGCCACACAUUUUUGGAGGGAGCCAUAGCACGUGAGAGAGCCACACCACGGUCACAGCCAGGACCUGGUGGCGUCAUCGGGGGAUCCUUCCCUCCCCUCUGCCCAUUGCCCAUCAAGGCUUUUGGCUUUUGGAAGAGGAAAGAGGGAAAGGUAAAG
rnacentral:lncRNA from 1 species